rnacentral:rRNA from 1 species
AUACGUAGGUGGCAAGCGUUGUCCGGAUUUACUGGGUGUAAAGGGCGUGUAGGCGGAGAUGCAAGUCAGGAGUGAAAUCUAGGGGCUCAACCCCUAAACUGCUUUUGAAACUGUAUCCCUUGAGUAUCGGAGAGGCAGGCGGAAUUCCUAGUGUAGCGGUGAAAUGCGUAGAUAUUAGGAGGAACACCAGUGGCGAAGGCGGCCUGCUGGACGACAACUGACGCUGAGGCGCGAAAGCGUGGGGAGCAAACAGGGUUAGAUACCCUGGUAGUCCACGCUGUAAACGAUGAAUACUAGGUGUGGGGGGACUGACCCCCUCCGUGCCGCAGUUAACACAAUAAGUAUUCCACCUGGGGAGUACGAUCGCAAGAUUGAAACUCAAAGGAAUUGACGGGG